GUUCCUUUCAACGCUGUUCCUGUCGUCUUCCUCUUUCCUCGGUGAGUCCCCGUUUCUGGAGUCAGGAACCUUUUUCCUGAGAUUAUUGAUCACGUUGCUGAGCCUGCUUCUCUUGUCUUGAGCCGUCUGAGCGGAUCUAUCAUCCAGGUUGUGAGUUGAGGCGACCAUCCUGAUGUCGACGCUCGACGGAGACGAAGCUGUCGUCGCCGCGGACGAUGCCGUCGUUGCCGGGGAGAAUUUCGCUGCGCCGAAGACCUCCGCAGCCUCGCUGCUCGUCUUGCUACCAGCCACGUCCGCAGAGGCAGCUUCUGAAAAUUCAAAAUGACGAUUGGGUCUGCAGAAAGUUAAUAGAACACGACUAGACAUUCAAAAUAGCACUCAUGGAUCGCAUAUAUCCAAGGGGUGGAACUAAAAUACCCAGACGAUGGUAUGCAUCUAGUAAAUGAGAUAUGCAGCCUACGCAAACGGAAGUGAAAAAAACAGGCCAGGUUAUAUAAGCAUGGAAACAGAUCAAUAAUUCCUUGCUUGCCCGAUGUGGUCGUAAACAUCCACGGACCUCUGCAGAAGAUUGUGAGAAGCUAUGACAUCUUGAGAUUGACAUCCCCACCUUACAUUUUCCUAUCUAUCUGUCUUCUUCGCUCUCAGCCUUACCAUCGUUACUCGAAGCAAGAAAAUUAAUUCUGCUUGUUCGAUAAAUUUUCUCCGAACACUCGCCCUCUAAAUAUUUUUCUGGCGUUUCUAAUAAAUGUAAAAUGCUUAAUAAAUUCACGGAGCAAUCGAAUUACGAAAAAUUAA